ACGAACCGACGUAGUCGAACGGUCCUCACAUCCGACACGCUUGCGGAACUCUAUCGAGCAGGAGGAAACCGGAAACAAGCAUCAACACACGAGAAUCACCACACGAUGCAAGACACAUAUGAUGCACGAACGGUCUAAUGCAAGGCAUGACAAUCACAACAAUCAAACACUACACAUUAAGUGAAGCUCGAUAUGCAACGAGUUGCAUAUCGACGAAACUCCACGUCUAAUUAUUUAGUUCACUCCCGUUCAGGUACACGGAUAUAUUAAAUGUUGGUAAACAUGGCACGAGGGUGAAGCACAAAUUAAUCUACCUAGCUAGGCAUUUUAAAUGAGAUCGGAAACGACAUAUAGCAUCUCCGAAAUAACCCCAUGUGUUAAAUCUUAAUUCUGUCCAGAUUUGUCCUAAUCACAUUUUAGGUUUGUUAAACGGCAAAACAAAGUGGUUCACGUGUUUCUACUCGUCGUUCUGGCCCAUCUACAUAUAUGGCACAUCUCCAAGAGAGAUACGGUUAAAUAGUUACGACCCAAACCGUUUAUAUUACGUCGACAUGCAAACCGAAGCAAAACAGCACACCUAACAGUUUUAAAUAUGCAUGGGAGAAGGUUAUUGUGAAACUACAGAAAAUUCUAAGCAACUUACAUGUUGAAAUCAUUUUAAACCGGUGCACGGUUAGAUGUAUACGAAUUUUACAAAAGGGCAUAUGAAUAUGUUCAAAAAAUAAAAAAAAAUGGAAUUGCUAGGAUUUGAACCCCAGAUCCCUUGGAUGGACAAUAAUAGCCCUACCACCAGACUAAUUAAGUGGUUGUGUCAAAAUUGACAAAACAGCACAUCCACAAGUAUGAUAGAAGCUGGUGCGCUGGAGGCAAAAUUCCUAAAAAAAUUAUAAUAUGCACUGAUGGGGAUUUGAUCCCUGGACCUCUCAUUUGAAAAUAAGGUUGCUAGCCACUGCACUAAACUCUGUUACUAGCAUGAAAGGAAUUCGAAUGUAUAUCAACUAGCCAAGACGGGAACAAAUAUGAGCUGGUGCACCACAAAAGAAAAUGAAACAUAAAAUCUGGGGCGCACGGGAGUCGAACCGGGGACCUCCAUCACAGCAGUUGGCUGCGCUAGCCAACUCAGCUAGCCUACAACUCGUUGACACAACCAGUGCCCACUAUAGACAACAUGUCCUUGCUAGAACGGAUCUAGAGGAGACUGAAUUCAGAUCGGGAGGACUGCUCACAACGGGGAUGCAGAGGCCGACGGCGCGAUGCUUCGGCGAAGAUGGCGGACUCGGAGGCCGGGAAUGGAUAGGGGGGAACGGUCGGGUGCGGAUCCGGCUGGAAGGGCUACGACGGUGAGGUUCACGGUGACGAGACGGCAGCCAUGGGGCUCCUGCAGGUGCUGAUUCAGACAACUUCAGAGAAAAAAAAUUCAGAAAGAGGGGGAGAGCAGGGGAGGAAGAAGAAGAGGAGAGCGAGGCAUAGGGACCUGCUGCUGCAGCUGGUUGGUUCAUCGACGCAUCGGCUGAACGGGUGAGGAGAGCACGGGUCCAACCAUUCCCGGAGUCAGUCGGUGGCGGCGUGGUGCAGCUUGAGCAUCGGGCCCUGGUUGGAGCUCCUGCAGCACGAGAGGGAGCACAGGGUACGGUCAACAGCAAGUUGACUCAGCCGGCAGCGCGUGACGGCUUGAGAAACGAACGGGAAAGGCUCGGGAUGGGCAGAUCCCGGCUCGGGCCACCCAUUCCCGACGACGAGGGAUCUUGGGGAGGCGCGGACGGCGACCUCCAUCAAGGCGGCGACGGGUUCCUCUGCCCUUGUCAACGAGAGAAGAGAGAGCUUAGCAGAGAUGGGAGAAGAUAAAAGCAGAGAGGGUAAGGGAAGGAGAGGCUCCGACGUGCCGACCUGGGAGGUGGCCGAUGCCCAUGGCGAGGCUGCAGGGAGGCACCUGAGGUGGAGCCUGCCUCGCGAGUAGAGGAUCUCGGGAAGCUCGGGGUCGAUCCCCUGCUAGCGCCGCACGCUGCUUGGACGAGGUCGGGGUCACCGAUAGGCGCAGCUGGCGGAAGGGGUGCCGGUGCCCAACCGACACUAGCGGCGAGGUGCGCGCAGAUGGGGCCGCUGCUGCGUCCGUACUCUGCUGGCGGUGCUCCUCCGAAGAUGUUGCUGCAGUGCAACAGGGGGAGAGGAAUGAGACACAGCGAGCAGGAGGGAAGGGAGCAGAGGAACACAGGGAGGGGGGACGGAGAGGGACAUGGCCGACCUGGAGGCUGGGUGCUGCUACUGCGCGCGGAUGCCUGCGGGGAAGCGGCGGCUGCACGCGAGCGCUCUGUUGGGUGCGAACGUGCAACGAGGAGGAGGGGGGUUGGUCGGGAGGAGAUCCCGAGGGAGAUGGUGGCGGCGGCGCUGCGGGAAUUGGGGAGGGAAUGGAUGGGAC
rnacentral:lncRNA from 1 species